rnacentral:lncRNA from 1 species
AGAAUGCAGUUUAUAGGCUACAGAUGAAAUACGUUAUGAACUUAACAAGGUGGUGAAAGAGCACAGUGCUUCCUCAGAACAGAAGUUAACAGAGAAUUUGGCAGUACGUCACAACCGCAGACCACGUGUAACCAUGACCUCCGAAUCCGGCUUCUUCACCUGCGGAAUCGUCCGAGACCAGCCACCCGGACAGCUGAUGAAAUGGAGAAGUAUUUCUGUCUCUAAUAAAGCCCUUUCAUAGGGAAAAACUCAGAUUGGCCUAUGUCUUCCCAGGCCCACCCAUGGCUGAGCCCCUGCCGGUCAUGUGAAAUCCUUAGAUUAGGGCCUAAUGAAUUUAUUUCAAUUGACUGAUUUCCUUAUAUGAAGUGUAACUAAGUGUAAUUGUUGCAUGUUGAGUUUAUAUUUUUGUUCAGUAUAGAACAGUUGUAAAGACGUCCAGGUGAACUGGAA